GGCUUGAUAGCACAGCUGGAUAGUGCAUCUCCUCAAUGUAGAAGAAGAUGAGUUGUACAGGAGAAGAUCCCCGUUCGAUUCGGGGUUGGGCUA